rnacentral:rRNA from 1 species
CCUACGGGAGGCAGCAGUGGGGAAUUUUGGACAAUGGGCGAAAGCCUGAUCCAGCAAUGCCGCGUGUGGGAAGAAGGCCUUCGGGUUGUAAACCACUUUUGUACGGAACGAAACGGUCCGCUUUAAUACAGUGGGCUAAUGACGGUACCGUAAGAAUAAGCACCGGCUAACUACGUGCCAGCAGCCGCGGUAAUACGUAGGGUGCGAGCGUUAAUCGGAAUUACUGGGCGUAAAGCGUGCGCAGGCGGUUAUAUAAGACAGUUGUGAAAUCCCCGGGCUCAACCUGGGAAUUGCAUCUGUGACUGUAUAGCUAGAGUACGGUAGAGGGGGAUGGAAUUCCGCGUGUAGCAGUGAAAUGCGUAGAUAUGCGGAGGAACACCGAUGGCGAAGGCAAUUCCCUGGACCUGUACUGACGCUCAUGCACGAAAGCGUGGGGAGCAAACAGGAUUAGAUACCCUGGUAGUCCACGCCCUAAACGAUGUCAACUGGUUGUUGGGUGCAUUAGUACUCAGUAACGAAGCUAACGCGUGAAGUUGACCGCCUGGGGAGUACGGCCGCAAGGUUGAAACUCAAAGGAUUGACGG